rnacentral:rRNA from 1 species
CCUACGGGAGGCAGCAGUGAGGAAUAUUGGUCAAUGGCCGGAAGGCUGAACCAGCCAAGCCGCGUGAAGGACGAAGGUGCCAAGCAUUGUAAACUUCUUUUGUCAAGGGACAAAAUCAGGCUCGAGAGCCUGACCGAGGGUACUUGAAGAAAAAGCAUCGGCUAACUCCGUGCCAGCAGCCGCGGUAAUACGGAGGAUGCGAGCGUUAUCCGGAUUUAUUGGGUUUAAAGGGUGCGUAGGCGGACUGUUAAGUCAGCGGUAAAAGCCCGGGGCUCAACCCCGGCGAGCCGUUGAAACUGGCUGUCGUGAGUUGUCGAGAGGUAUGCGGAAUGCGCAGUGUAGCGGUGAAAUGCUUAGAUAUUGCGCAGAACUCCGAUUGCGAAGGCAGCAUACCGGCGGCGAUCUGACGCUGAGGCACGAAAGCGUGGGUAUCGAACAGGAUUAGAUACCCGAGUAGUC